rnacentral:rRNA from 1 species
GAACGUUGGCGGCGUGGAUUAGGCAUGCAAGUCGCACGGGCCGCAAGGCCAGUGGCGCAAGGGUGAGUAAGGCGACGGUAACCAACCCCGUGAUUGGGUAUAGCCGCGGGAAACUGCGGGUAAUCCCCAGCGACGUCCCUGGGAGGCAUCUCCCGGGGACCAAAGCUCCGGCGUCGCGGGACGGGCUGUCGUGGUAUUAGCUUGUUGGCGGGGUAACGGCCCACCAAGGCUGUGAUGCCUACCGGGCGUGCGAGCGUGGCCCGGCACACUGGGACUGAGACACUGCCCAGACUCCUACGGGAGGCUGCAGUCGAGAAUCUUCGGCAAUGGGCGCAAACCUGACCGAGCGACGCCGCGUGGAGGACGAAGGC